rnacentral:rRNA from 1 species
AUUGAACGCUGGCGGCAGGCCUAACACAUGCAAGUCGAGCGGAUGAAGGGAGCUUGCUCCUGGAUUCAGCGGCGGACGGGUGAGUAAUGCCUAGGAAUCUGCCUGGUAGUGGGGGAUAACGUCCGGAAACGGGCGCUAAUACCGCAUACGUCCUGAGGGAGAAAGUGGGGGAUCCUCGGACCUCACGCUAUCAGAUGAGCCUAGGUCGGAUUAGCUAGUUGGUGGGGUAAAGGCCUACCAAGGCGACGAUCCGUAACUGGUCUGAGAGGAUGAUCAGUCACACUGGAACUGAGACACGGUCCAGACUCCUACGGGAGGCAGCAGUGGGGAAUAUUGGACAAUGGGUGAAAGCCUGAUCCAGCCAUGCCGCGUGUGUGAAGAAGGUCUUCGGAUUGUAAAGCACUUUAAGUUGGGAGGAAGGGCAGUAAGUUAAUACCUUGCUGUUUUGACGUUACCAACAGAAUAAGCACCGGCUAACUUCGUG